UAUUAUGUUGUUUUUAUUUUAUUAUAAUAAUUAUUUUUCCAGGGCUUCCAGAAUUUGCAAAUGGGGAGGAUUAUUUGUCACAUGAAUGAAGACAAUUUGUAAAAAUAAUCAUCAUCAAUAUGCUAUAAGCCACAAUGUUGUUUUACAUUAUGAACCUAGUCUGGUUGAAACACUGUAGUUCAAAUGCAAAUGCACUGCUUACAACUACCAAGAGGAAUUCAAAAGGGCAAAACUAAAAAUAGAAGACACCAAAAAACAUAACCUGAAAGCAUAAGGUCAGUGUUUGCACUGAGGUGAGAUAUUGUUGGUUAAUUUUACCUGCAAACUCAUUCCUUUUUCAUCCAGUGAGCAUUACUAGCUUUCCUUGGUUGCAGUUUGGAAAUGUCAUCUAUAAUUUCCAACUAUUAAAUAAUUAUUGUUGCUGCAACAUUUUAUACAAAAUCAAUUUAUAUUCACCUUAUUGUUGCACUUUGCAGUUUUAUGUGAAUAGCUAAUUUCCCACUCCUGCUAUUACUCUCUCCACCACUUCAGUGGGGAAGUCUGAGUGAAGCUGUAAAAAAAAUGUAAAAUAGUUAUUCAAGCCUGACUGAACGUCUGCCCUUUUUCUUCUUUUGAUUUAUUACUUUAAUGCAGCCCAUGUCUGAACGGCAGUGGGCUUUGCCGGAGCCAAAGCUCUGUUAAAAUUGAGAAAGUCUGUAAAUAAAAUUCUUUGGACAAGAUUUCUUGGGCUGCACUAUCUCAAAUUGUAAAUCAUCCAUGUACCCGUCUGUUGUGGUUUAAAAUACAUGAUUUUGCUUCAUGCCGUUUGUUUAUUUUUGCAACUUGUCCUCAAAGUCAGUGGAUCCAAAGCCUGAACCGUCUGACUGCCAAAAAACAGACAGUGGAAGUGGAGACACUCAUGGAAACCGGAUUUUUUUAAAAAAAAGACAUUGUUAUGUUCACCGUUUUGUUGUUAUCUUAUUUGUGCUAAACAAUGCCAUCUAGUGGUCAUUCUUGGUAGUUGUCAAAAAGCAGUAGGGAAAGUAGAAAACAGGAAGUACAGCACAGUUUCAGCCGCAUGGCAGUUCCUCAGUCCUGCUUACGUUGUUUUCUUGCUUGCUAAAGCAUCAUCUGUAAGUAUUAUAAGUUGAAUUAGUUACAUAUGAGAACAGUUAUCGCAGACAUCUUCAUUUGUAGAGAAAUCAUGUAUUUUUCUGUUAGAAGUAAAUUCGACCUGAUGCUAAGCUAACUCGGACCACUAGUCUAUGUAUGUAUGUAGUGAUUUUGACGUUGUUGCUACAGCAACAAUACUUGUGUGUAUUUCUUUGAUAUUCUGUUACAGUUUCACAGAAAAUUGAUGUCAGUAAAAACUUCAAGACGUCAUUCCGAGUCUGUGGAGUUUCUGCAUUCGGCUGGCGAGACCUAUACAGACACAAUGAGAUACUAACGUCCUCAACAAUCUUUUAUAAAAUCGUCCUAAUGUUUGGAAGACAAUAUGCUCAAAUUUGCUGUUAGUAACAUUUUUCAAGUUCAAUUUCAUUUCUGAAGAUCAUUGCAAGAGCAAACAACGGUAUUUUAUCACUUCUUGAAGGAGUGACCAUAAAGCGAUGGAUGAGACACACUGCCUGGACGAAGAAAGCUUUAAAUGAAUUCAAUAUAAUAGUGUUUUUGUCUACGUUGUGCCAUCUAGAGCUCAAAGUCAAGCAGCCGUUAAUUAACUACAGAUUCAUUUUUAGCAGAUAUUUUUUGUAAGAUGAUAAUAGCAAAGCUUAAUAGUGCCUAGCAUUUGAGAAGAGCUCUAAUUUAUUUACUCCUGAGGGCGAUGCAGUUGGCAGUAAUUAAAUAUAAUUUAGACUUUACAGUGAAUUUAUUUAAUAAUAUUCAGCAACAGAUCACAGGAUUAAUUAAUUGUAAUUUGUACCUGCAUUUUGCCCCUGUGGUGUGCAGUUUAAUCACAUUAUACUUGCAUUGCUUACCCAUAAUCAAUUUCAUUGUGUAUAUUGCUUUAUUGUUAAGCAGCUAAUUUAUAAAUGAAAUAUAAUUUAACCAAAUUCCACAUUACUGUCCAAUAAUGUUUCAUGAUACAAUAUUUAGGUUUCGAUCCCGUCACGUCCCUCGUAGCUCUCCUGAAAUAUCACUACUACUCUGCACCGAACCAGAAUCACUUGAAAUGACUUCCUGUUGGUUGGUAUUAUUUACUGGAGUCACAUUUUAGAAAAUGAGUUGAAAACGUUGGUUGUCAGAGUAGCUGUGAAACGUCCCCCAGGUGGGUUUGAAUUGACGCCUGCGGCAGAUGGCGCCCCUUUUUUUAGAGGCUACCUCUGGGGCAUCCCGCCCCGGUUAGAGAGCAAUGUUGCAGAAUUCAAAAGCUGCUAAAAGUUUCAAAAAGUU